rnacentral:rRNA from 1 species
AAUUGUUCGCAAUGGGCGCAAGCCUGACGACGCAACGCCGCGUGGAGGAUGAAGACCUUCGGGUCGUAAACUCCUUUCGAUCGAGACGAAUGGCCUUCGGGUGAACAAUCCGGAGGAAUGACGGUACCGAGAGAAGAAGCCUCGGCUAACUCCGUGCCAGCAGCCGCGGUAAGACGGAGGAGGCUAGCGUUGUUCGGAAUUACUGGGCGUAAAGCGUGCGUAGGCGGCCUGGUUAGUCGGAGGUGAAAUCCCGGAGCUCAACUUCGGAACUGCCUCCGAGACGGCUGGGCUUGAGCGAAGGAGAGGAGAGCGGAAUUCCCAGUGUAGAGGUGAAAUUCGUAGAUAUUGGGAAGAACACCGGUGGCGAAGGCGGCUCUCUGGCCUUUUGCUGACGCUCAGGCACGAAAGCGUGGGGAGCAAAC